rnacentral:lncRNA from 10 species
AAAUUUUUGUAAAUAUGGUUUCAAAGCCACACAUAGUAAAAAAAUUUGGAGAAUACAGAAUACCAACAGAAAAGAAUAAUAUAGAAAAUCCAUACAGGAGAGAAAAUAAAAAUCUCUUGUAAUCUUCCUACCAGGAUUUGGACAUGACUAAUUUGGGGUUAGGUCUUUCCAGUUUGCCUUUUUCUCCCUUAUUCAGCAGCAUUUUAAUCAUCUAUCCUCCAACUUACUGGGGCUUCGCUCUCUGCAACUCAGUUUUCCUGUUUAGAAAAUAGGAUGGCUGCAUGGUAACAAAUUUCUCCAACUGCUUUUCAUGUGGUUUCCUCAUCCCUGUGACCAGGAAGUCUGCAUAUGUGCCAGGUGAUGGGUACAGAGUCAUGCAGCAGGCCCAUGGGCCCCAGGGCUUCUCACUCUUAACCCAAGUGGGUGCCAGAGAAAAAUCUCAUCUCAACGAGAGGAGGCACAGACACCAGGCUGCCAGGGCCGUGCACCACAGGUCAGAUCAUCCAGGAUCUCCUGCGAGCUGUUCUCAAG